CAAUAAAUGACUCCCUUUCUAAAAAUUGCUUUUGUCGUGUAGCAUUGGAAAUACAAAAAAUAGUAUAUACCAACACACACACGUGCAAUAAAAUAGAAUUCACACUCAAGAUACGGUACCCAACUUCAGAAUUAGAACAUUACAAGUAUUUUUGAAGUUAUCUAUGCAUUCCUCCCUGAUUCCAUCCUUUUGCCUACCACACAGAAUUAAACAAUAUUCUAAAUUUAGUGCUUAUUUUCUCUUCUGUUUAUCCCCACAUAGGGAUAUGGCUCUAAACAAUAUAUUGCAUGAUGUGUUAUUAGCUUUUUAUAAGUAGUAUCAGCUUCAUAAAAACGGUAAUUUUCUGUGACUUUCUUUACUCAGCACUACGAUUCAUCUUCCCUAGUGUGUGUGCUAUUGUUUGUCUACUUUCAUUACUUUUAAUUAUAUGAUUGUGCAAAUAUAUCAUGAGUUAUCCAUCAUCAGAUUGAUGGCUGGUUGUUUCCAGUGUUUUGCUAUUACUAACAGUGCUGCAUAAACAUGCUUGUAUACGUCACCUUAUUUUCGUUACCCAAGUUCAAGUCUGUCUCAAGGCCUUUGUGAGGCAGUCCUGAUCACAGAAACCAGCCCGAGUGUGUCAAACCAAAGGAUUUAAUAUAGGGAAUUGGAUGAAAAGAUAUUGGAAGGAGCAAGGGGGCGGGAUCUGCAAGAGUGAAAGGAAAGGAAGAAUGAUACUCAGAGAUCAGAUGCUACUAAUGCCCCAAGGCUGAAAGUCUCUGAAUCCACCAGCUGCUGCACUGUUGGGUGUGGUGUUCCGGUACAUAACGGAUCUGCUGAGAUGAGCUGCUUUGACCAGGCCUGGGCUUCUGAAAGGUGUUAUCUCUGCAGUGCUGGAGGUAGAAACAGCUUGACCCCGUUAUUUCUCAACCUGCAGCUGCCAGAAACUGCCAGGACCUGCCUCAUUCUGAGAGCCAGAAGCAUAAAGCAUUUCCGUUUCUCUUGCCUACUGAUCUCCUGAAAAUUUCUUCUCCUGACUGAAUCUUACCAAGGGCCAGAUGGCAAAGUAGCACAAAACGUAAUUUUCAGAUUCCUACGCUCUGAUAAAGUAUUAAAGGGGAGAUGUUGGGUUCAGAGAUCGGCAAAUAAGCAACACAAGCCCUCACUUCUAACUGAAAGCAGAAAAUUUAGCUUAAUUGUUCUCAGGUAAACUUGGCCAAGUAGUGAUUUCUCAGUCAUUUCAAAUUUAAUAACAUUCAAAGCCAGAGUUCUUCAAUUCUUUACUUUCUCUCAAUCAUAGUAUUUAAAUUCUAAGGGUGGAUAACUAAAUCCAAGAGUUGGAAAGAGGCCUACUCAUUUGCUCGGGCCACCACAACAAGCAGCACAGGCUGGGUGGCUUAGACAGCGGAGAGUCAUUUUCUCAUCGUUCUGGAGGUUAGAAGUUUGAGAUCAGUGUGUUGGCAGCCUUGGCUUCUUCUAAGUUCUCUCUCCUCGACUUCUUGGCUCAGAGACGGCCGUCCUCCUGCAGUGUCUUCACACGGUCUUUCUUCUGUGUGUGUGUCCCGAUCUCCUCUUCUCAUAAGGCAUCCGUUAUAUUGGAUUAGGACCCACCCACAUUGAUAUCGACCCUGACAUCAGUUUCCCCACGUUAAACCCAGCAUAUAUGGGGUUAAAACCAAAACACUCAUUCCCUGCUUACUCUCUGGCUUCCUGGCUCCAGAAUCCACUAUCCUCCAUGGAGACGGACACCGUCAAGGACAAGCACCUGGACUAUCUCCUCCCACAAAGAGAUACAGACUGGUGGGAAAGCUGCUGACCAGCAAGGUCACAGGCUUCCUCCUCUCUGUAAAUGUCUCAAGGCCGAAGACAGGCUGGUUGGGAAAGCUCCGACCAGCAAGGCCAUAUGCUCCCCCUCCCCUACCUAAAACCCCAAAUAGAAACCCUUCCUUUUAGCUUUUUGGGGAGUUUGGGAUUUCAGCGUUAGCUGCCCUCUCUCCUUGCUCAGCGCUGUGCAAAAAUAAAGUUCCUACUUUCUUCCACCACCCCCGGUGUCAGAGAUUGGCUUGCUGCGCAACGGGUGAGGGAACUCACUUCAGGUUCAGUAACAAUUUGGCACCCCAGAUGGGACAAUGUCCCAGGUGGACGUCUCGCCUGUGGCACACCGGCCUCUGGCUAAAGGCCUCUCUUGGAAGCUGUCCUGCAGCUGCCUGAGCCCCUUGUCUCAGGGACAGCCCCAAGUGACUGGCUGCUAGCCAGACGUUGGCCCAUGGCGCUUUUGCUUUGGUGGUGGAAGAAACCAGGUUUAGGACAUAGGAAGACGUCUCUUGUAAGUAGCUGGUAGUUUUUGUUUUUGUCUUUGUGUUAACCUUCUCCAACAGGACCGGCUGGAAAUAAUGGGUACCCUGGCAGCCCUCUGGGCUCCAUUUGUUUUGAAGUCGCCGCGAUGCCCCGGCCAAAUUUUGGUGUCAACAUGGGAGAUGCUGCAUUUAUCCCACCUAAGAGCCCCUUUGGGAAAAACUUUGGCUGGUGGUCGACCUAGAGCUAUAAGCCAAUGUCUAAAGAGGGAUGAUUUUCUUUUGUAACACCAUGUGGCCACAAUAUUCUUUAGACUCCGGACAGAAAAAAAAAUGGCCAAACGAUGGAUCGUCAAGUUGGGAAACUUUUAGAGAGCUCUUAUGAUAAACAACUGUUUUAUUGGCACCUAUGAAAAGCCCAAAUUAAGAGGAAACUAUAAUGACUAGUCUUAAGAACUUAAUCCAACUUGGGGUCUCAGCUUCUCGUAGUCUUACAGAUGCUAAUGAAAAUGUUAAGUUAACAAAGAGAAAUCAGAAAUGGAAGAGUCACAGGACUCGCCCCAAUGGGAUACAUGGAACAGAUAUGGAUGAAGUUAAAACAAAGGUUUUAAUGAAACACUGCCUAAGGUUGGAUGGGCUAAAGGGACCGCCCUAUUGGCUCCCCAACAUUAAAGGACAUCAGACAAACCUGUUCUAUUUACCCCAGUUUGAAAAAUUUAAAAGGUCAGGAGGCAGAAAUCAAAGUGAGAAACCUGACCAACAAUUGUUUGGGGCAACAGUUAGGCUACUGAGAUUAAUAAGACUAUAAAGAUUAAAGUGUUUAAGCUAAUGUUAUAUGCGAGGUUAUGUCAACUUCGCCUGGAUGUUUUCUUUGGGAACAAAUGUUAUGUCUAACUAGGAAUGCUUCUGCUGAACAAUAUUGUAAUACCAAAACCUGUUAAUAGAAUUCUAAUGUAAGUUAUAAUUAAAAGUAUAAGGGUUAGUAAAAGUAAGAUAAAGUUUUGUAAAAAUUGAUAUACUUAAACAGGCCAAUUUCAGUUCACACAAACUGGUGUAUGCAAUUGGAAAAGCUAGCUGCAACAAUGGGGAGGCUGUUUUAAUCUUUUGAGGCUUCUAAAUAAUAUUAGAAAUACUUUACUUCCUCUUUAAGAGAAAAUAAUUAAAUAAUUAAACAUGCCAGCAGCCAACUCAAAUCUGCUGCUUUUUUCUACUCUCUUGCUGAGCUUCCCAGCAAGCUGAGCUUCGCUUCAACUCCCCCAAAAUUUAUGAUCUAAAAUGGAACGAGUAAAAAUAAGUAAACUUCUGAGAUAAUUUAGAAUUGUAAUGGCCAUUCUGAAAACCCGUUUCAGAAGAGGGUUCAAAAUCUCUCCUAAUGGAAUGCAGUCUUUAAUGAAUAUGCAAAAACUUCUAAGAGACAAGGUUAUUUAACAUGAUAUAAAAUGAUCUUUGAUGAAUAAAAGCCUGUUUAAGUUUGCUGGUUUCAUUUAAAAUGAACAUGUCCUCAAAGUUAUCAGCAUUGGCUAUAAUGCAGACAUACAGCCUGGGUUUACUGGUCAAAUGAGCUCAUGUCAUCUCUGUCACAAAAUUUAUCAGCAAAACUCACAACUCAGUAUAAUAGCUAAUUUUGCUUAAUGUCUCAUGGAGUUUUUGUAGACGAUCUAAAUAUAAUUGUUAAGAACAAGUAAACUAAAUAAAUAUACAUAUAAUUAUAUGUAUAAUAAUUAUGAUAUAUGUAUUUAAACAACUGAGGAUAAUACUUCACUGCUGUAAUGUCACAUGAAGUUUUUAAGAGUAAUUGUUAAAACUGGGUAAGAGUUUUAAGUACAAUAAUUAUGUUUUAUAGUCUGUAUACUUAAAAAACAGCUUCCAAAAUCUUUUUGGAAACUUAAAUUUUAUAGUUUUACUAAGUUAAAUUAAAUAAUAACGGUUUGUUGGGUAUCUAGGUCAUUUCCAAGUAAGAUAAAAUAUUAAAGGUUAACUACUAAGCAUAUAUUUAUCUGCCUUUGGUUUCUUAUAUCAAAGAGACUAAAAAAUGCUUAGGUUUAUUGAUAAACAUGCUUUAUUUGUGCUGAAAAAUUUUCCAUGAGGAAACAUAUAUUUCUAAAAGGUCUGUAUACAAGGAAAGUAAAAUAUAUGUUUUCAGUAAAAAGAUACAAAGAAUGGGAAUAUUUUUGUUUCUUGAGUUGAGAAAGAUAAAUUUGUCCUAAAGUGCUGGGACAAAUUCUGAAGGUAAAAAAGUAACCAAAGGUUUGUAAAAGGAAAGCCCUAAAGAGGUUUAUGUCUGGUCAAGUUGGCCAGGAGUAAAGUAAAUCCAAUUAAGUAAAUAAACUUAUAUGUCAAAAGUAAACUGACACAGGGGCUGGCCCCGUGGCCGAGUGGUUAAGUUCGCGCGCUCCGCUGCAGGCGGCCCAGUGUUUCGUUAGUUCAAAUCCUGGGCGCGGACAUGGCACUGCUCAUCAGACCACGCUGAGGCAGCGUCCCACAUGCCACAACUAGAAGGACCCACAACGAAGAAUAUACAACUAUGUACCGGGGGAGCUUUGGGGAGAAAAAGGAAAAAAUAAAAGCUUUAAAAAAAAAAAAAAGUAAACUGAUACAAAAUUAAAACUUGGUUUCCUCUUUCUUAAAAGGAUAAUUUUCCUAAAUUUUUAAUCUGAUCUUUAUAAAAAGAUUAUAAAAAGGCUGUUUUUUGUUGACUAUUUUAACUGUUUCCCCUUGACUGUUUCUAUUGUCACUUUGAAUAGAUACCUGAACAUGGUUUCGCAGUGAACUUUGUCUCCUAUCUAAACAAAUGUUUUAAAGCUUUUAGUAUUUCUGACAAGCUUCCCCACACACACAAAUAUUCAAGUCUUGAAUAAAAGCUUUCUUUUUACCUGGAAGAGGAGAGAGAGUUUCUUUGGGGAUUUUCAGAGGGCCCCUGGGACUUCUCAGAGAAAGCUCUCUUCCUAUAAGAAAAAUAAUGCUAAACUAAUAAGCCUUAUUUUUUUUGUUAAAUUACAUGAGAAACGUUGUCAAAUAAGUAAUGAUAAGCUUUCUUAAAUGGUAUUAUGUAAAUGAGUGUUAUUGAUACAUAUAUAUUUAAA
rnacentral:lncRNA from 1 species